UACGAAGGGGGCUAGCGUUGCUCGGAAUUACUGGGCGUAAAGGGCGCGUAGGCGGACAGUUUAGUCAGAGGUGAAAGCCCAGGGCUCAACCUUGGAAUUGCCUUUGAUACUGGCUGUCUUGAGUUCGGGAGAGGUGAGUGGAAUGCCGAGUGUAGAGGUGAAAUUCGUAGAUAUUAGGAAGAACACCGGUGGCGAAGGCGGCCCACUGGUCCGGUACUGACGCUGAGGUGCGAAAGCGUGGGGAGCAAACAGG
rnacentral:rRNA from 1 species